GACCUUUGUUGGGUUUCUUGUCAGUGUGGUGUGUGUUGAGUCUUGCUUUUGUAUAGUAGUGAUGUCGUAUCUCAGUUCGUGCAUUCUAGUGCAUUAUAGGGUUAUUGGUCGGAUUGGUUCUUGUGUCUUGUCUCCAACUUGUUGUUGGCGAUGGAUCAGUGGGUACCUUACCUUUCUUUCGAUAAUUACGUUGGCUGCAGACAACGCAGUGGUGAAAGUUAGGAUAAGAUACCCUAUCCCUUUUGGGGAAUAUCUGGAUUGGGUCGAUAUUUCUUUUCUCUUGUAUGAGAG
rnacentral:lncRNA from 1 species